rnacentral:rRNA from 1 species
GGACCCGCACAAGCGGUGGAGCAUGUGGUUUAAUUCGAUGCAACGCGAAAAACCUUACCUACAAUUGACAUACUGCGAAUUUUCUAGAGAUAGAUUAGUGCCUUCGGGAACGCAGAUACAGGUGCUGCAUGGCUGUCGUCAGCUCGUGUCGUGAGAUGUUGGGUUAAGUCCUAUAACGAGCGCAACCCUUACCCUUAUUUGCCAGCGGUUCGGCCGGGAACUAUAAGGGAACUGCCGGUAAUAAGCCGGAGGAAGGUGGGGACGACGUCAAGUCAUCAUGGCCCUUACAUGUAGGGCUACACACGUGCUACAAUGGUACUUACAAUGGGAUGCAAAGAGGCGACUCUUAGCUAAUCCCUAAAAUGUACCUCAGUUCGGAUUGUACUCUGUAACUCGAGUGCAUGAAGCUGGAAUUGCUAGUAAUCG